rnacentral:rRNA from 1 species
GGGUAUAGACCCGAAACCCGGUGAUCUAGCCAUGGGCAGGUUGAAGGUUGGGUAACACUAACUGGAGGACCGAACCGACUAAUGUUGAAAAAUUAGCGGAUGACCUGUGGCUGGGGGUGAAAGGCCAAUCAAACCGGGAGAUAGCUGGUUCUCCCCGAAAGCUAUUUAGGUAGCGCCUCGUGAAUUCAUCUCCGGGGGUAGAGCACUGUUUCGGCUAGGGGGCCAUCCCGGCUUACCAACCCGAUGCAAACUGCGAAUACCGGAGAAUGUUAUCACGGGAGACACACGGCGGGUGCUAACGUCCGUCGUGAAGAGGGAAACAACCCAGACCGCCAGCUAAGGUCCCAAAGUCAUGGUUAAGUGGGAAACGAUGUGGGAAGGCCCAGACAGCCAGGAUGUUGGCUUAGAAGCAGCCAUCAUUUAAAGAAAGCGUAAUAGCUCACUGGUCGAGUCGGCCUGCGCG